rnacentral:tRNA from 1 species
AGGUCGGUCGUUCAACGGUAGGACUGCGGUCUCCAAAACCGCCAAUGUGGGUUCGAUUCCCGCCCGACCUG